UACGUAGGGUGCGAGCGUUAAUCGGAAUUACUGGGCGUAAAGCGUGCGCAGGCGGUGGUGCAAGACAGAUGUGAAAUCCCCGGGCUCAACCUGGGAACUGCAUUCGUGACUGCACGGCUGGAGUGCGGCAGAGGGGGAUGGAAUUCCGCGUGUAGCAGUGAAAUGCGUAGAUAUGCGGAGGAACACCGAUGGCGAAGGCAAUCCCCUGGGCCUGCACUGACGCUCAUGCACGAAAGCGUGGGGAGCAAACAGG
rnacentral:rRNA from 1 species